rnacentral:rRNA from 1 species
UAGGGAAUCUUCGGCAAUGGGGGCAACCCUAACCGAGCAACGCCGCGUGAGUGAAGAAGGUUUUCGGAUCGUAAAGCUCUGUUGUAAGAGAAGAACGUGUGUGAGAGUGGAAAGUUCACACAGUGACGGUAACUUACCAGAAAGGGACGGCUAACUACGUGCCAGCAGCCGCGGUAAUACGUAGGUCCCGAGCGUUGUCCGGAUUUAUUGGGCGUAAAGCGAGCGCAGGCGGUUUAAUAAGUCUGAAGUUAAAGGCAGUGGCUUAACCAUUGUUCGCUUUGGAAACUGUUAAACUUGAGUGCAGAAGGGGAGAGUGGAAUUCCAUGUGUAGCGGUGAAAUGCGUAGAUAUAUGGAGGAACACCGGUGGCGAAAGCGGCUCUCUGGUCUGUAACUGACGCUGAGGCUCGAAAGCGUGGGGAGCAAACAGG